UCCGUUCCGGUCGGAAGGAAGUUUUUUCAGCCUUCUUCCACUUGCGCUUCAACUCCAGUGAACCAGCGACCCAGCACCACAUCGAAUUUAGUUUAUUAUGUGCAGAACAGUGUGUGUAUGUGGCGCGGUUUAUUUGAAGACUGCUGCUGGCGGCUCUGAGUGCUGUGGAAUCGUUGAGACGUGAUAACCAGUGUGCCAAAGACAGAAUGGACGGUGAGACGGUAGUGCUCCAGUAACCAGAAGAAAAAUAAGCACCAAUCGUGGUGGAAAUUUUCCAGCAUAGUUAGCGGUUUUCAAUUUUCCAGAAGUUUUUCGGGUGCCAGGCUGAGCAGUCGUUAUUGGGAAUUGAUUGGGAUCGAAACUCCCAAAACCCACCCUCCAUGUUUAUAGCUGCAGUUCAGUUUAAAACGGCUAGUCGAUGAGGGUAAUUCGUAAAUUGGAAUGAGUGAAAUUCGGUUACAAUCAGUGAAAUUCGUGGAAAAUAAAUUAGAAAAAAAUAUGAGAUAUGUGUAUAUAACAUAAAGUGAAAUUCAGAUCGUUGUGAACCCAGUGAAUGCAAAAUAAUCAGGUCGAAUGCAAAAGAAAAAAAUCAUGGUGAAAAUUUCUGUCCGUUUGGGAAAGGCGGUAUACAAAGCCGUUGUAAUAGCGCAUGCUUACUUUAAUGAUAGCGUCAGGCCACAAAGAAUGCCGGUACUAAGUCCGGAUUGAUCGUAUUGCGCAUAAUUAUCGGCCACAAAGAAUGCCGGUACUAAGUCCGGAUUGAUCGUAUUGCGCAUAAUUAAUCUGACAAAUAUACAUGUGUGAAAUGCAAAAAGGCGCCGCUGUGCUUAUCAGAAGGAUAAGUUCCUACAGUGGAGUAUGGAAUCACCGCCGAGGAUACCCUGAUCGCGACCCUUCGUUGCCACCGCCGGCAAGUUUUGCAGCUAUCGCCGAACGAUGCCCGCAAUACAUAAUUCGUGCCUGGCUCACAACUGGAUCUCAAACAACGAGCUUCAUUGUCGUCACUAGAGGCAGAUAGCAACUGAAAUUCGGGAACGGAAGUGGACUAAGUCCGCCACAGGGGACUGAAAUGAAAUCUGAAAUCUCUAAACAUUAGACUGGAACCCAGCUGGACAUCGUAGCAGAGGCAAACCCAGAGGCUCAUGGCGACGAAGCCUCCAUAAAGAAAUUAUAGAAAUCAACCGAAAUCUAACUUGGCAACGAAUUAAGGCGAUAGCUGGCCGGCAUCGACCAGGAUGGAGAUCUUUCAAGUCGGCCCUUUGUACCACUCGGUGUGUACAGGACCCAUAAACUAACUGUACUAAAUGCCAUCUAACAAUCGAGCAGUAAAUAAUGCGACGUGGGUCUCUCGUGAGCCUUCUUGAUGCUCGGCUGGAAUAAACGGAGCGCUGACAUUGCUGGCCAUCACCUUCUAAGUGGCGAGAUCCAACUAUGUAUUACCAGAAUUUAACGGCAGGAGGAUAGGGUCGCAUAGCGAUUCAAUACACAUCGACAUGCUGUGCAGGAAUCGUUCGUUGAAGAACUAGCAACUCGGGCCAGAGAUACGAAAAUACGAUUCCCGCCAACGGCACAGAUCACGCAUGUCUAAAUUUUAUGAUAUGAUAGCCUCACAGCUGGAUUCAAGAGCGUAAAUAGAGAUCACAUUCUUCAUGCUACCAACAAGACGAAUCUGUAAGGGAUACCAGAUUCAGGAUCAAUUUGUCAGUAAUGACCAUGUUGAUUACCAGGGCAGUUCAAAGUGAUAUUGAACUGAAACGUCGUUGCCAAAAAUAGUGUAGGAUGAACACGGUGAAGAAGCGCUUAUCCUCCAGGAUUACAUUCCAUCCAACCAGUUGAACAUAAUUAAAUGUCGAGUCAGGUACGAGACACUGAAGACGGCCUUACAGUUGAGGUCAAAAUACGUAUCUAUGAUAAUUACAACGUGGUGGAAUUAAAUGAAAUAGUAGUAACUCGUUAUAUGCUAGGUGUUCCAUUUUUGUUACUAUUUUGAUUAUUAGUCUGUCUGUGUCUGGAAUGUCUUCACUUUUCGAGUUAAGUACGAGAACAGAAAACGGCCUUACUGUUGAGGACGAAAUACGUAUCGGUAAAAUUAAAAUCAAGCGAUGGAAUGAUAUGGGAUGGACGGUAGUAACUUCUGUUGGGACAGGCACAAUACAUUACUAAAUAAGUGAUUCGAAUAUUAUUAUUUUAACAAAGACAAUAACAAAAAAAUAUUUAAAAAAAAACAAGUAGUAGAACUUAGAAUUUUACAAGGAAAUUAAAUAUAAAUAAUGUGUUUAUUCAUCAAAAACUAAAAAAUCAACAUAUUAUAAAAAUUAUUUUUUUUAAUGUUAAUAAAUGGUAAAAUCGAUACAAACGUGAUAGUAGUUCUUUAUUUUCUUAUAUUAUUAUCUUUAUUAAUAAGAUAAAUAACGGUUCCGUAUUUUUACCAUCGGUGCAGAAAAAUGGACAUAUACCAAUCGAAAUGCUGCAGUUCAAACUGUGAAGAGUACCAAAUUGAUUCGGUCCGCUGUUGAAAAAAGUUACCUUAGGCUCGACCCCGAUCUGUUCAACUCUGCGUGCACGCGGCAUAGAAAAAAUAUGUAUCGGAGAAAAGCGGACGCACAACUGCGUUAUUUUAACGUUGCGUGCACGUGACGUUGAAAAGACGCUACGUGAGCCACGGACCUUAAUAGUUGCAGUU